rnacentral:rRNA from 1 species
UGGGGAAUAUUGCACAAUGGGGGAAACCCUGAUGCAGCCAUGCCGCGUGUGUGAAGAAGGCCUUCGGGUUGUAAAGCACUUUCAGUAGGGAGGAAGGUAGUGUAGUUAACACCUGCACUAUUUGACGUUACCUACAGAAGAAGCACCGGCUAACUCCGUGCCAGCAGCCGCGGUAAUACGGAGGGUGCGAGCGUUAAUCGGAAUUACUGGGCGUAAAGCGCAUGCAGGCGGCCUGUUAAGUCAGAUGUGAAAGACCCGGGGCUUAACCUCGGAAUUGCAUUUGAAACUGGCAGGCUAGAGUCUUGUAGAGGGGGGUAGGAAUUUCAGGUGUAGCGGUGAAAUGCGUAGAGAUCUGAAGGAAUACCAGUGGCGAAGGCGGCCCCCUGGACAAAGACUGACGCUCAGAUGCGAAAGCGUGGGGAGCAAACAGGAUUAGAUACCCCUGGUAG